UCAGGGUCGAAACGUUACAAGCUGAUCAUGCUUGCAUGAGGAAGCUUGUGACCUUGAGACCCGCAAAAACAUGAGAAUGCAGCGAUUUUCGAAGAAAAUCAGCGAAUUCGAAUGUUUUUAGAAUUGCGAGAGCUGCAAAGCAGCGGAGCAAUUCGUUGG
rnacentral:sRNA from 1 species